AAUAUUCGACAAUGGGCGAAAGCCUGAUCCAGCCAUUCCGCGUGUUUGAAGUAGGUCUNCGGUUUNUNAUGCACUUUCUUUUGGGNGGUAGGGUUGUCGUUUAUGACCCUCCAAUUUUACCAUUACUAAACGAUUAAGCACUGGCGAACUUAGUGCCAGCGCCCGCGGUAAUACGAAGGGUGCAAGCGUUAAUCGGAAUUAAUGGGCGUAAAGCGCGCGUAGGUGGUUCGUUAAGUUGGAAGUGAAAGCCCCGGGCUUAACCUGGGAAUUGCUUUCAAAACUGACGAGCUAGAGUACGGUAGAGGGUAGUGGAAUUUCCUGUGUAGCGGUGAAAUGCGUAGAUAUAGGAAGGAACACCAGUGGCGAAGGCGACUACCUGGACUGAUACUGACACUGAGGUGCGAAAGCGUGGGGAGCAAACAGG
rnacentral:rRNA from 1 species